AUACGUAGGGGGCGAGCGUUGUCCGGAAUGAUUGGGCGUAAAGGGCGCGUAGGCGGCGCGGUAAGUCUGGAGUGAAAGUCCUGCUUUCAAGGUGGGAAUUGCUUUGGAUACUGCCGCGCUUGAGUGCAGGAGAGGUAAGUGGAAUUCCCAGUGUAGCGGUGAAAUGCGUAGAUAUUGGGAGGAAUACCGGUGGCGAAGGCGGCUUUCUGGACUGUAACUGACGCUGAGGCGCGAAAGCUGGGGGAGCGAACAGGAUUAGAUACCCUGGUAGUCCCAGCCGUAAACAAUGAACACUAGGUGUAGGGGGUAUCGACCCCUCCUGUGCUGCAGCUAACGCAUUAAGUGUUCCGCCUGGGGAGUACGGCCGCAAGGCUGAAACUCAAAUGAAUUGACGGGG
rnacentral:rRNA from 1 species